rnacentral:misc_RNA from 1 species
GAUGAAGAACGUAGCGAAAUGCGAUAAGUAACGUGAAUUGCAGAAUUCAGUGAAUCAUCGAAUCUUUGAACGCACAUUGCGCCCCCUGGUAUUCCGGGGGGCAUGCCUGUUCGAGCGUCAUUACAACCCUCAAGCUCUGCUUGGUAUUGGGCCCCGCCAGUUCUGGCGGGCCCUAAAGUCAGUGGCGGUGCCUUCCGGCUCCGAGCGUAGUAAUUCUUCUCGCUCUGGAGACCCGGUUGUGUGCUUGCCAACAACCCCCAAUUUUUUAAGGUUGACCUCGGAUCAGGUAGGGAUACCCGCUGAACUUAAGCAUAUCAAUAAGCGGAGGA